CAGUGGAAAGAUACACAGUUUCACAUGAUCAUUGAAGAGGAAUGGAUCAGUCUCUGUCAACUCAUCAUUCAUCAAAUAGAGUGCUGUGCCCCUCUGUGAUGUUGCCAGUGACCUACCAUAAAACUCCCAGAUCAAUUACUUCAAUUGAGAUCUCUCACAUCCACAGGAGGAACUACUUUACAAGGUUUUGAAAUUCUACUGGAAAACCUGUGACCCUCCACUGCUGCCGUACUAAAAUGGAGAGGUUCACAACAGAAUUAACAGCUCAAAAAGGACAUUGUCCACAUUGUCUCAUCAAUCAUGAGCAGUAGAAUUUAAUGUUACUGCAAUUUGUAGCCUCAUGAUCCAAGGAUUCCUUCGGUGCAGUGGUAGUGUCCCUACCUCAAGUCCAGGUUCAAGUCUCACCUUCUCCAAAGAUGGAUAAUGUCAUCGACAAGCAGGUUGAUUAAAAGAUCUCACCUCAUCGCUCAGCUUAUCCUCUUUCUACAAUUGUU